UACGUAGGUGGCGAGCGUUGUCCGGAUUUACUGGGCGUAAAGGGAGCGUAGGCGGACUUUUAAGUGAGAUGUGAAAUACCCGGGCUCAACUUGGGUGCUGCAUUUCAAACUGGAAGUCUAGAGUGCAGGAGAGGAGAAUGGAAUUCCUAGUGUAGCGGUGAAAUGCGUAGAUAUAUGGAGGAACACCAGUGGCGAAGGCGACUCUCUGGUCUGUAACUGACGCUGAGGCUCGAAAGCGUGGAGAGCAAACAGGAUUAGA
rnacentral:rRNA from 1 species